UACGGAGGGCGCGAGCGUUGUCCGGAUUCACUGGGCGUAAAGCGGGUGUAGGCGGUUGGGUAAAUCGGACGUGAAAGCCCAGGGCUUAACCCUGGAAGCGCGUCCGAAGCUGCCUAACUUGCGGACGGGAGAGGGAGGUUGAAUUCCCGGUGUAGCGGUGAAAUGCGUAGAGAUCGGGAGGAACGCCAGUGGCGAAGGCGGCCUCCUGGCCCGUUCCUGACGCUGAGACCCGAAAGCGUGGGGAGCAAAGCGU
rnacentral:rRNA from 1 species